GGGUAGUUCAGUGGCAGAGUGCUUGCCUAGCAUGUAUGAGACACUGGGUUCAAGUCUCAGCACCA
rnacentral:tRNA from 1 species